rnacentral:rRNA from 1 species
AAUGCGGGUGCUUACACAUGCAAGUUGAGCGGUAAGGCCCCUUCGGGGGUACACGAGCAGCGAACGGGUGAGUAUCGCGUGGGUAACCUACCCAGAGGUGGGGGAUAGCCCCGGGAAACCGGGGGUAAUACCGCAUGAGUCCUCGAUGACACAAGUCGACGAGGGGAAAGGCGGGGAUCCUUCGGGACCUGUCGUCUCUGGAUGGGCCCGCGUCCGAUUAGCUUGUUGGUGGGGUAAUGGCCUACCAAGGCAACGAUCGGUAGCCGGCCUGAGAGGGUGAACGGCCACAUUGGGACUGAGACACGGCCCAGACUCCUACGGGAGGCAGCAGUGGGGAAUUUUGGGCAAUGGGGGAAACCCUGACCCAGCGACGCCGCGUGGAGGAUGACGGCCCUCGGGUUGUAAACUCCUGUCAGGUGGGAAGAAGAGCCUGUCGGUUAAUACCCGGCAGGAAUUGACGGUACCACCAAAGGAAGCCCCGGCUAACUCCGUGCCAGCAGCCGCGGUAAUACGGAGGGGGCAAGCGUUAUUCGGAUUUACUGGGCGUAAAGCGCACGUAGGUGGCAUGGUAAGUCAAAGGUGAAAGCCCUCGGCUCAACCGAGGAAUUGCCUUUGAAACUGCUUUGCUUGAGUCCGGGAGGGGGGAGCGGAAUUCCCAGUGUAGCGGUGAAAUGCGUAGAUACUGGGAGGAACACCGGUGGCGAAGGCGGCUCCCUGGACCGGUACUGACACUGAGGUGCGAAAGCGUGGGUAGCAAACAGGAUUAGAUACCCUGGUAGUCCACGCCGUAAACGAUGGGCACUAGGUGCAGCGGGUGUCGACCCCUGCUGUGCCGUAGUUAACGCAUUAA